rnacentral:lncRNA from 1 species
UUAAGUAAAGAAGAAAUAUCAUAGUACAAUUUUUGGAUUAUUCAUCCACCUCAUGACGUAACAAAAGCUCAUUAUAUCUUCAGCUCAAUAAAAUACGCCACCAAAUUUUCUAAAACCCACAUAAAUUUCACAAAAAGCUGAUGAAUUUCAUAGAUGAUUAGCUGUCGAUUACAUAACAAGCGUUACAAAUCAAAGGAAGCUAAGCACUAAUUACUUAAAGCAACUAUUUUUACACCUAACACAAACCCUAAAGACAGUAAAAUUAAACAUUGAAACCCUAAAAUUCUUCAAGAGCUAGUGAAUUUGGUAACAGCCUUAGUUCCUUCAGAGACAGCAUGCUUAGCCAGUUCACCAGGAAGUACAAGUCUCACAGCAGUCUGAAUCUCCCGAGAAGUGAUAGUAGGCUUCUUGUUGUACCUAGCAAGUCUAGAAGAUUCCUGAGCAAGCUUCUCAAAGAUAUCGUUAAUGAAACUGUUCAUGAUACCCAUAGCUUUGCUCGAAAUACCGAUAUCAGGAUGAACUUGCUUCAGAACCUUGAAGAUGUAGAUCUUGUAGGUCUCAACUGACUUCUUUGCCCUCUUCUUCUUCUUGUCUCCGGCAGCACCGGCGUCCUUUGGGAGCUUCUUUCCGGCCUUGGGCUUCUUCUCUGCUGGUGCUUUCUCGGCGACCGGGGUUUUCUCAGCGGCCGGCUUCUUCUCGGCGGGUUUCUUAUCUGCCUUUGGUGCCAUUUGAGGAGAGAAAAAUGGAGAUUUUAGGUUUAAGAGAAGGAUUUUGAAGAGAUGCGAAUACGAUUGAUGAAGAAAUUGGGAAUUGAGGGUUUGUUUAUAUAAUGUUUUGGAAAGAGUUCUGAUUGGUUAAAUCUAAAUGACGCGGAUCGUGGUAUUGACCGUUGAUCUUUGUUUUAAUCAACGGUGGAGAGGGGUUUGGUGAGUUGAGGUGAAAUGUCUUUUUGUUUUGGGAUUUGAAAUUGAAAUUCGUCAGCUUUCAUUAAGGCGGUAGCUGAAAAAGUGAAAUCUCGAUUCCCGCCUGAUAAAAAUUAAUGUGCGAAAAUUUGGUAUCAAAUGGAUAAGGAGAAUAACGUUGCAAUAAAUAUGACUAUGAGAGCAUCUUCCUUAGAAAUUGAUUGAAAAUUUUAUUCACAAUUUUAGUAUUUUUGUGUGUUAUUUAUAUGAUGUCUUUCUUUUAAUCUAUUGUCAAAAAGAAUACAUCUUCCCCUUUUUGGGAUUUACUUAAUUUCGGCAUCCUCAAUGACAUGACUUAUUGAGGUCAUCACCAUCACUCAUUUGAAUAAAAAAUACGUGGAACCCUCACCGCCAUUGUAUAAAUUAGCAUUUGAAUAUAAAUUUGGUUGAGAUAAAAAUAAUUUUUAUAAAUUAAAAUUAUGUUUGAACAUACAUUAUACUUUAAAAGAACUUGAAGUUUGUGGGUAAAAACUUGAGAAAUCAGUCUAGAUUACUUUUUAAAAAACAUGAAAAACUCAUCCACAAAAAUUGCCCAAAAACAACUCACUUUUUAUAACCAAAGAAUAUUUUUAAAAAAUUUGAAAAAAAUGAAAAAAAUUUAUAGCCAAACGGAAGCUAUACUCACACCUCUCUAUAAUAGCUCUCAUUUAUAACAAUAUUUCACUAAAACAGUCAAGUUUCUUUGGAACUAUUUUUUAUGGAAAAAAUCUCAUUUUAUACCUAUUAACCCCAAACUAUUUACCUUUUAAUACUCAUGCCCAAACUAUUUACUAUUCCUACCCUUGCGGUCCAAUUAUUUACCCGGCCCAAGCUAUCUAUUGUCUUUAAUGCCUUAUUUUCAUUCUUUACACUAGACUAAAAAAUCUAGCCCACCUAUUUCACCCGGCCCAAGCUAUCCACCGUUUUUAACGCUUGUCUUCGUCCUUUAAGAGUUAACACUAGACUAGAGAACAGUUUCCAAAUCUCCUUAGCCAAACCAUGAAAACCCAUAUUUCACUUAGAUUCGAGCUUUUAAUUUUUUCUUCCGAUUCUGUUCUAUCUCUUCGUCUAGUAGUAAUUUUUGGGUGAAUUUUUUGCUUCUGAAGGUACAUUUUAGUGAGAGUGAGUUUUCAAAAUCAUAGAAUUUUUGUCUUUUUCUUUGUACUUUUGUGAAUCAAUGUCUGUGGGUUGUUGUUUUCUCUAUGGGUCGGAAGCAUUGUGUGUGUAGAUGGUGGUGUCGUGGACAACAUCAUUCUUCAACACAAGUAGCUGUUGAAUCUGUUGCCUCAGCCAUGUCCGGUCCUAAUUUUUCCUUAUUUUCUGAUUCUCAGUCUGUGUUUAGUCGUAAUUCUAGCAGUAGUCAUGUUGAAAACAUAACUGAAAAUAUAGAAUUAGAGGGUGGAAAAGGCAACAAUAUUAAUGCUUCGUUAGUCGAUGAAACUCCCUACCAGUCAUUACCCGACACAAAUUCCGAACCAGUCAUAGCAGGUGUUCCUAUGACUAAUAAGGGAAAAGGUGAAAUUAUUGAGGAUUCUGAGUUAGGGGAAGCCGACGUGAAUCCGUGCCUAACAUAGAGACUCAACUAGUAGAUGUUGAGUGUAGCGAUGACUCGCAGUUUAAGUAGUGAUGCUCAUAAUGCUUUUAUGUGUUCAGCAUCUCGGGUUGAUGGUAUUGGUCAAGUGGAUGUUGGUGGCAAUAAUGUGAAUUUGCCUUCUGGUAAUGUCUUCUAUGUAUAACAUUUCAUUUUUUUUUAAAAAAAUUCUUAACUUUGUAUAUUUGUUUAUUCACUGGCAUUUUCUAAUUUAAGCUCCAUGUCGACAUAGGGGUGAUUUUCACUUGGAUUCUGAUUUUAAAUAUAUUGAUUCUCAACUUGAUCUAAUUGGUGCCAUUACACAAGGAGGGAAGCGUAAUGUAAAUCAAUCUGCAAAAUGAACUAACAACUCGUGAUGUAAAUAAGUCUAAACCUGAUCAGUCGAUAUCAAAAAGUAUUGUCCAAACACAAAUAGAUAUUGAAACAACUCCCGCAGUUUUCAUACGGAGAAGGUGCCCUGCAACUGUAAAACAAUUGUCGUAGAGGAAUGACUGGCCAUCUGGUGUUAGUGCACUUGAGGGAUCCUCGAAGGUUAACAAAGGAAGAUUUCCAUUUGUAAAUGACAUUUCAGUGGCUGUUAAUUAUAAGCUUACGACUGCAUUCUCAAACUUUGUCAAAGCAAAUAUGCAAUUGGGAGAGUGUGUAUUCAUUUCCAUAUACUUUUGUUUUCAUGUUUUCUUAAUUUUUGUUCUUAUAUAUAUCUUCUUUUAUACGAAAUAGGGAAGUGUAUUUACCCAUUGAUCAAAAGUUGGACCCUUAUUUUGACUUUGAAGUUGAACAAAUUGAUGAUAAGACAUUUUUUCAUACCUUAAACUAUUCUAGUAGGCGGCUGUCUAGUUCAGUAUGUGUACUACUUUUAAUUUUUUUUUUGUUGUAGUAGUUCAUUCAUAUUAUUAGUGUUAGUCAUGUUUUCUUUCUCUCUUUUUUGCAGCACUUGAAUAUUAUAUUCUACUAUCUUAGAAAGAAGGCGAAAUAUGGAAUUAAUAUACCAAUCAAAGUCACAACUACAGAUACUCUUUUUAAUAAUAUCAUUCAAAGUGUUUUCACAAAAUUUGUAAAAGGUGGGAAACAAGAUCAUUUGAUUGAUAGAUCAUACGAUAUCAUGGAGUACAUGAAAGGAUUUAGGAUGCAUUGCAACACUACAUGGCACCUGGUUAAUCAUGUCCUCUUUCCAAUUAAUUUGGCAGAAUAGUGGCAUUGGAUAUUGGGGUGUGUAUAAUUUCACAGGAGAUGUUUUUACGUAUAUGACUCGCUAUGUAAUCGAAAGCACAAAAAGUUAUUCCAAAGGUGGCAAAGGCAUAUGCUGUGUUGAUCCCCCUGCUUCUAGUUAGCAUUGAAUUUUAUAACUAAGGAAGUGAAAUUACAGUACAAAAUGGUCUACACAUGGGAAAGGAGUUGACUAAUCCUUUUGAGAUUGAACUGAUUACAAAUCUGCCAACACAGCAAAAUUCGUAAGAAUAAUUACUUUUUUUUUUUACUUUGUUUUCCUCAUUCAUAUUAACAUUUUUCACUUCUAAUAGAUUUUUAUAUUCUAUUCAUUUGAUUUAUGCAGAGAUAUUGGAGUAUAUGUUGCAUGUUUUGCUGAGUAUAUUAUUGAAGAUCUUCCAAUCCAUGUUGCCAAUUUUGAUGUGGAUGGUCUUCGAGCUAGGUUUGGUAUAUUGUUGUGGCACUAUGGGAGGAACAAGCAGUUGCGUGGCAAAUCAAGUGAAUAUGAGGCUCCAGUAGCACCUAAAAAGACUCGUGGAAAGAAACGCAAGAAGUAGUAUAGGUCUUUUUUUCGUUUUAGUUAAUCAUAGCAUGAAAACUUUGUAGGAUUUUAAUAGUUUUUAGUGAAGUAUGGUAUUUUGCAUUAUUAGAUUGUUAAAAUGGCAGCUUUUAAAAGUGUUUUCUAGAAAUACAAUUGUAAUAGUACAAUAUAUUGCUAUAACUGUUUUAAUGUUGAAAUCUAUCUUCAGUUUGUUUUAUUAUGCUUCUUCCAUAAAGUUGUUGGUUUAUUAGGAGUGCCUUUUGGAGACAAAAUUUUGUCAGCACUUGAAGUCAAGCCAUUAGUGUAGAACAUGGUUGUUACAGCAGCACUGUUAGUUUCUACUCCUACUGCUAUUUACAGCAAGAGGAGCAUUGUUAGUUCGUUGUAGUACACCAGCAGAAGUUAUUUUUGGAGGUGUAUUUUUAAGGGAGUGACGACGUUCAAAAGAAGAAUUAUGUUGUUAUUUUGUUGAAGAACAGGACGGGCAUUGAUUUGAAUGAGAAGAAAUAUUUUUAGAAAAUGAACUGGUUUUGAAAUUAUAUUGAGAGUAGUUGUUAGUUGUAGCUGAAUCUUAGAACAUCUGUGCAUAAUUUGCAUUGAUGCACCAGUUGUAUUAUGCAAAGAUUUUGGUUCAGGUAUAUUAGUGCAGUAGAAUUAUAUACCAAUCAGGUAUACUGAUAUACCAUUUGGGUAUCACGUUGUAUUUGAAUACAUUUUUCCUACAACAACUAGAUGUAAGUACUGACAUGAGUUGCAAAGCAUGCACAUUUUGGGUAUCACAUUGUAUUUGUGCACCAUUUGUAUUUCUGCGAAUAUUUUUGGUUUAUCCAUACUAGUGCAAUACAACUAUAUACCAAUAAGGUAUACAAAUAUACGCACACUUACAUUUUAGCAUCUUUUUUCCUACAACAACUAGAUGUAAAUGCAUCCCACUUUUGUAUACUAAAAUAGAAAAUAAACAUAUUCUCAUUGAAAACACAAGUAGCCUGUCACGACUCCGGUUCGCCUUCCGUGAACCAUCGUGAUGGCACCUAGUCUCUAUGACUAGGUAAGCCUAACAAUGCAGAUUAUAAACAACAAUUGCGAAAGAGAUAAUUAAAAAUCGAAAUAAUGAAAUAAAACAGUAUUUAAAAAUGUCGUUCGGCAUACACAAUAACAACUCUUGAAACUAAUAACUUUUCCCAAAACUCGGAAUCUCAUGAAAGUACAAAAGGGCUAAUACAAAAGGGAGAGUAGACAGAGACUCUUCGGUCUACGGACGCGGCAGAUAUACCUCGGAGUCUCUACGAACGCCUCGUCUCAAGCGUGACAAGUCUGAGUGGAGGUACCUAAAUCUGCACAUGAAAAACAUGCACAUAAAGGGCAUGAGUACACCACAGCGGUACUCAGUAAGUGCCAAGCCUAACCUCGAUCGGGUAAGUGACGAGGAAGGUCAGGGCCCUACUAAGAUUAAGUGAAAUAUAAGGUGUGACAGUAUAAGAUGAAGCAAUACAAGUGAAAGAUAAUAAUAAGAAUUAAUACAGGAUAAUAAGGAUAACAACAACUGAAACAGAGGUAAAAACAAUCACAAGAAAUACCACUCUUCACGAAGAUAAUAACCGGGGAUCUCUUAGUACCCUCAAUAUAUACCAGUAAUCUCUUGGUAUCCUCAAUAUAUGCUAGGUAUCUCUUGGUAUCCCGAGGAUCUCUUGGUAUCCUCAAUAUAUGCGAGGGAUCUCUUGGUAUUCCGAGGAUCUCUUAGUAUCCUCAAUAUACGUGUUAGGGAUCUCUCGAUAUCCCGCACCUCAGCUCAAAACAUAAUAUGUACAAGGGACCCCCCGGGAUGCUGAUUCAAAUCUCUAGAUCUCCAGAUCUCCAAACUGAGAAUAGAAUUUUCAGCUAAAAAUUCAGAAGUUUGAGUGUAAACUUCUGUAAUACUUAUAAUUUUUGACAUUCUGCUUUGCCAACGAAAUCAAAAUCGUAAAAAUAAGAUGCGAGUUUGAGCAUCAAAAGUUUUAGCAUCUUCCAAAGUCAAAUCAGCUACUUCUAUAAAAUUUAAGGAGAAAAAAUCGAAUUGUAAAGAGAAAUUAGCAUCUUCGCUAUGUUUUUUCACACUUACGAUCUUCAAAUUAGGGGAUGCCGGUGGAAAUCUCAAUUUUGUGCGCUUAUUUUCUAAAAUUUUGAGCAGCUUUUGCAUUUUUAUAGGCAGGGUAUUAGCGUGGGGUAGUUAUUUUGAGAUACCUGUUUAUUUAUUAAAUGGGUAGGAAAUUAUAAUUAUUUAAUGGGUAGAAUUCUUUUAUGGGUAGAGCAGGGUAAAUAGUUUCACUUUUAUAGGUACUCUUAUCUUUUUCUCCUUUUUAUGUAGGGAGGUUUGAUUAUAAAAUAAUUAUUUUGAUACUUUGCAUGUAUUUAAAUUAGACGUCAAAAGUCUUUAUAGUUUACUAGCCUUAGGUAUGCGUGUUGUGCGCGGGGCGGAUUUACGCUUAUUGAAGCGGUGUCGCGUGACACCACUUCGUCGGAAAAUUUUACUAAAUAUAUGUAUUUAUACUGUAUGAAAACAAAUAAGUAGGAAACAAUGACAUCACUUGACAUUAAUUGUAUCUUGGUGUAGGUUAAAUGUUCAAACCUCAACUUGUACGUUUUCCUUUUGCACAUUUUUCUUGUCUAAAGGUAUGAUAAUCAAAGUUAUAUUUUAAUUCUUUUAUAAAUUUCGACACAGCUUAAAAAAAAAUUAUGCGUACGCCCCUGAUUGUGCGUGUACACCAUAAAUAAAACUUUUUAAGAAAAUUACAUAAAUAUCCUAUUGAAAUACUUUUGCUUGUUUGUUUUCAUAUGAAAAAAGUUUCUACCAAUUUUUCCAUUGUGUUGUAUUUAUAUUUUACCUUCACAAAAUACAUGUAUAUAUGAUUUAUCCACCAUAACCUAGGUUGCUUUUUACUUUUUUUUUUCCACGUAUAUAUGGCAAGUGUUUCAUAUCACUUAGAUAUUUGCAUUAGUUUGUACACAAAAAGUUACUAUAUCGCUAAAAAUAUUUUUUUCAAAAACACUCUAAAAGAAACAGAAAAUUACAGUUGAAACCAUCAAUCGUUAGCAUUUCAGAUAAAAUUAUGAAAGAACAAAAAAUGUACUUCAUAAAAAGAAAAUUAUUUUUUAUAUUAGAUUGAAGUACCGAAAAUAUAUGUAAAUUUCAAAUGAGUAUUACAUAAGCAUUUCAAGUAUUAGUAAAGUAAACAUUAUUAUUGGAAUUCGCAUAAUAGUAAUUCAGGCAUUUCUUAAAUGUUACUUGAUUGUGAUUAAAAAUUUACUCAGUUCCCGAAAGAGUACCAUAUAUAUAAACAACGAAACAAAUAAAAAUAUUGGAGGAAUAUAUAUACCUCAUAUGAAUUCACAAAAUAUUGUCAAAAUACCUAGCUUCUGCAGUGUUUGGCUAUGCUCAAAUUCUCAGAAACCAAAACUGUCUUGUUCUUCCCAUCUCAAUUUACCGCGAGAAUUAUUUAAAAGGGUAAUAUAUGCGAUUUAUGUGGAGUUGGAAGAAUAUAUUGUGAAUUAUAUCGUGGCGAGCAAUUGAAUUCCAAUUGAAGAGUAUUUUUUUUCAUUAGAAUAUAAAAUUCUAUUAUUAGUUGACUUCCUUUAUUUACGUCUAAAUUUUAGGAAUAUAUACAUUCCUUUCCUUUUCUGUAUUUACCUAGGAUUCUAAGAAUUUUUUUUUCUUAAUGUCGGAUACAAUUUAAUUGUUUCUAAGUUUCAAAGCUAAUAAAUCUACAUUUAUAAAAAAGUUAGAUAUCAAAUUACUAAAUAUUAGAAAAGUUAACAUGAAAAGUUGUUACAUAGUUAAACUAUGGAAAAUAUUUAUAUAAGGUCAAAUAUAAUCAAUUUUAAAAUUCUAAAUAUUAAGAUUUUUUUGAGUUAAAAUUAUAUUCUAUUGAUACUCAAAAAUAUUAUAAUUUGGUUCCUAUAGUAGUUUUGACUUACUACUACCCCUUUACAUCAUUUAUACUAUGUCAUGGAUAUCAAAGUGUCUAACUAACUAUAACUACCAAUACAGACACUAGUAUCUCAUCUAUACCUUCUAUUUCUAUUUGUACAUUUGUUCUUCAGGGAAUCCAAUCCAGUUUCUGCAGCAAUUCUCUGCAUUUUCUGUUAUGCUGCCCUCGAACAUGAAUAUGCAGAACUAUUUCCUUGCAGAUUUGAUAUUCAUCAUAUUUGCCAUCCUCAAAUCUGCCUCUGUUCCUCUCUCUCCAUAUCAUUGCAACUGUCAUGGCAAAAACACAGCAUGUGAUGCUAUUGAUACUUGCCCUGCCUUUUGCCUUUUUGCUGAUCCAUUCCAAUUCACAUUCCCAGUCUCCUAUAUUUCUUUUAUGCCCCAGCCAUGAGCACAGUUUAGUCCACAACCUUUUUGUUAUUGGACACUCAAAAAAUAGAUGGUUGAAUGUCUCUAUACUAUGCUUACAGAAAAUACAGUCUGUUGGCACAGUAAUACCAAUUUUCAGCAAUGUAUCCACUGUGGCCAGCCUCUUAUGCACUGCAAGCCACAAAAUGAAUCUGUACCUCGGAUGUACACUGGUAUGCAACAUUAAGCCCUUCCAUUCCACUUUGCAAUAUUCUGGGAUCAGCUUCAAGUACACCUGCUUGAUUUGAAACUUGCCAUUCUUACAUAGCCUCUUUAAUCUUUCAUGCAAGGUUCCUUGGAGUUGCUGAUGCCUCAUAACCACUUCUCUGCUAUCCAUUAUCUUCCUUAGGAGUAGGCACUGUGUCCAGAUCCUUUUUCUUAUAUAGAAACUAUGAACCCAUCGAAUCCAUAGGCAGUCUUUCUUUCUAGUUAAAUCCCAUAAGUGCUUAGUAACUGCUGCUUUGUUCCAUACUUUGAUGUCCAGUAUGUUUAGUCCACCAGCUGCCACUGGUUUACAUACAUUCUCCCAAGCUACUAGUGCCUUCUUUGAGAUAGUUUCAAUCAAUUUCAGCACCUUUUUUGGGAUAAUGAACACCUGAGCCCAGUAUGUCUGUAUACCAAAUAUGACUGACUGCCUUUAUCAAUUGACACCUUCCUGCAUAGGAUAAAAGCUUUGCUGACCAACAGGUAACCUUUGUUGCUAUCUUCUCAACUAGAGGCAAGUACUGAGUAAUAGUUAGCUUUUUUGAGUCUAACGGAAUGCCCAAGUAUCUAAAAGGAAGCUUUCUUCACUAAAUCUCAAUGUUUGCAGGAAUCACUAAAUACCAAAUAUGACUGCCUUUACCCCAAUAUUAAGGAUUUUUUUUUUUUUUUUAUGUAUUUCGAAUCAGGAAAGAUUUAAUAAUAAAAGUUUAAUACAUUUCAAAGUCAUAAAUAUUAGAAAAAUAAUUCAAUUACUAUGUCGAAUGUCAUAAAUCUAAUUUUAAAGGGUAAAAAAGACGAAUAACAGUUCGCUAAGAGGCUUGUGAUAUCAAAUUAUGUAAUACAUGUUUCUGAUGAUAUAUAGUAAAAUUCAAUAGAACACAGCCGGUGAUGUGCAGAUUCAAUUAAUUAGAAUCAGUAGAGACUACAUAAUAUGAUUGGAGGACAUAAAAAGAUUUUUAUUUCAAUAACUUCAUUUUUAAUGGUGGCAUCUUGUAUUUCCACAUUUUUUAUGUGUAUCGUCUGUAUUUUAGAAGGGAAAAUAUUUCAUAUAAACAUGAUCUGUAUUUUGCUUAGAAGUAACAUAAAAUUAGUUGAUGAUAGAACGUAACUCGUAAAUAUUUUCUAAAAUAGUUCUAACAAUGAAAGGAAAGAACCAAUUUUUCUUAUAUUGUUCACCUUUUUUGUACUAAUUGUACUUGAAUUGGGUUAAAUAAAUUGAUUUUAUCUUACAUAAUAUGUAUGAACAACUUGAGUAGGCAUAGCUUAAUACAUAAUACUACUACUGUAGCUUCGUCUAGUAGUAGCUUAUUACAGUAUGGCACUAAAGUCACUUGUAAUAGAAGGCUAUACCAGCCACUCUCUGUACGCGGUACUUAAAUAUAUAUAAAUAUUAUCUUUUGUACCAAAAAAAAAACGUCAAUAACCCUAAAUACAAUUUUAUGGUUCCCUNUCCCCCCCCCCCCCCCCCGAAAAAAAUUACCGAACCCUAAAUCUAAAGUCUAAACAUAGAAAAGAACCUAAACCUAAAUAAACAAAAGACACGGCAAUAAAAUUUAAUUGCCAACAAAUUCUUAAACCUAUAAUGAAUCCUAAUUAGUUGCAGAAUCUUAAACUUUAAUAAAGAAAAGUUGCACUCAACAAAAAAAAAGGCAAUAAAACGGCACUUUUUAAUUUUUCUUUCAAAUUUUGUCUGUUAGUGUUUGUAAUUACAAUUUUCCAACGUUAAAUUUACUUACGAAGGGUAAAAAAAAAGAACAAUAUCUUGAUGGAGAUUUCGUACUUUUAAUAUAGUAUAAAAAAUAUAGAUUAAAUUAUCCUCUCAAUCAAUUAAUUUCAGAUAAAAUAAGAGAUAUUGGAGUAUUAUAUUCACACUCAUAUUUAUUGCAAGAUAACAAUUGUGAGGCUAGCUAAUUCUAGGAUAAAAAGUCAUAUGAUGAAGGUACUGUCUCCAAAAUUCUUCUUUUAUAGCCUUUAAGAAUGCAUAGUAUUGACAAUAACCAAAUUAACUAGUGUAAACCUAAAUAAACACAUAUUUUUUUUAUUAUACCAAAGCAUCUACCACAAAAAUAUUUAAUAAACACAAAUCUCGUAUUAUAAUCAUAGUAUAAAAGUUCGUAUGGUUAUUUCUUUGCAGUGCGUUUGAUUUGAAUGUUGUUUCCAAUAAAAACUAGUCUCUCGGGCUACGAGAACAUUAAGUCAUAAAAAUAAAUUGGUAGAAUAAAAAACUAAUUUCCUUGGCAAUUCAAAUACUCCAUGUCCACAAUAACUAGGGAUGACAAUAGGGCGGCUGGGGUAAAACUCACAAAAAUUUCAAUCCGGCACGUCCCGCUUCGCACAGUUAUUUUUCAGUUUUCAACCCAUCCCACCCCACUUUUUUUUUCUUUUUUCUCUAAUUUUUUUUCUAAAACAAACUAGUUUGAGAUUUUAUUAUUUUAUAAAAUGACGAGUUUAAUAGAAUCACAUAAACAUAAAACUGAGAGAGUAUUACGCUGAUCUUCUAAAAUAAAUGGGUUACUAUCAUUUCCUAUUACUAAUACGAUAUCUUGACUUAUGUAAUAUCACUUUUGUGAGACUUAUGCAAAUUAAUUAAUUAUAAAUCAAAAUAGUAUUCGUGCUAAUGAAGAAAGAUAUGAAUUGUAGUUUAAAUGAUUGCUUUGUUUCAAAAAAGAUAAAAUUCAAAGUUGCCCCGCAUUAAACUCGCAACCCGCCCCACAUCGCUUUCAAAAUUUUAAAAAUUAUUUUAACUCGCCCCGCCCCGCACCCGCAUAAGAGUAAACCCGCCACAACCCGCACCCGCCCCAUUGCCAUCCCUAAGUCAAUAAGUGACUAUUUUAACUUUUUAUUUUGAUCCAAAAUAAAUGUCCAUUGACAUAAUCAAGAAGGAAUUAAUUUUGAUUUUCCAAAAUUUACCCUUAUUUACAUAUUUCAAUAUGUCAAGGUAAUAUUUAAUAAACCAAAGAAACUAUUACAUAAACUACAAUUCUAACUCUACACGCUCCUAAUGUUUUCGCCAAGUAAUAUAUAUAUAUAUUUUUUUGGGUUUGCCGCUUGUAAACUUCAAAAGAUCGGAACUUACAUAUGAAAAAUGAAAUAUUUAAUUCAUAGUUUGAAAUUCUUAAUUCAAAAUAGAUCUUAGAAAUUAUAUUUUCAAUAACUCGUUAUAGUGAGUAAAAUUCCACUUAGGCGAGCAUAUUAUGUUGGAAUUUCAGCACACGGAAAGUUCUCAGCAUAAUAUGUUAGAUUAUGGAACUCCUGCGUAUAAACUUCUAGCAUGUUAUGUUGCUGGAAUCUUUUAUGUAAAAAAUUGAACUCUAACAUAUUACAUUGAAAUUUUUUCGAAUUUUAAAGGGUAUUUUAUUCAGAUUUUAUCUUUACGUGAAAAAAUUACUAAAUUUCAAUUACUUUUGAAACAAUUGCUAUUUUCAAUUACCAGCCAUAAAUUUGACUAUUUCUGAUUUUUACUCAAACAAGCUCAUAUACCAGACCUUGUUAAUUCGUUCAUUUAUCUCGUUUAUAUUGACAAUAAUUUCAUUAUACGUUGUCAGUGCCUAUUCGUUUAAUUAAGGGGUUUUAGCAUCUACAUUUAUAAUGUAAGUGCGAGGCAUUUAAUAUUAGAUUUUGAUUUCCUUAUUCCGCGUCAAUCCAAGCUCCAAAGAAUAAAACUUAUCAUACGGCAAAAUGCAAAAAACUCUAAUUUAGUGAUUUAAAGAUAUAAAAAUAGUUUUGUGACUUGACAAUAUAAAGAAUAAAUUCAAUGAUCUUAAAAGUGCAGUAAAUUAACUUUGUGAAUUUACUAAUACAAGAGGUAAAGUUCAAUGAUUAUUAUAGACAAUAAAUUCAACAAAAUAUAAUCUAAAUUGAAAAAUAAUGCAACAAUCGUAGUAUUUGAUUUCAAAUAAUACGAGUUUACAAUCUCUAUGAAUCUUGUGAUUCUUCUUUUCUAAUAUAAAUUCAAGGGCUUUCGAGCUUGAUCUUGAAUUUAUGCUUGUUUUCCACGAACGAUGAUCUUGAAUUGAACUAGCACAAACUUAGAUUUGAACUCGUACUCCUUGAGCCUUGAUUUAUUCUUCGUUAUUUAGCUUGAACUUGAACUUGAAACUUGAAUCUUAUGGAGAAAUUUGCGACGUCUGAUCCACAAGACAUGUCAUUUACACAUGUGGCAUAGUUGCAUGGGACUUUUAUUUGACUUGCAUGCCUUGUCAUGUUGACACAUGGCAUGAUCCUAUCGGCUCUUCCAUUUGACUUGGCAAGCCACGACGACACGUGGCACCAAACUGGGCCUCUAGGAAGAUGAUAUAUUGGACCUAAUGAAGUUGGCUCAUCACUUGUAGCCAAGCUAAAUGAGUUAGCACAGUAAAUAUUUAUUGGACUUAACUAAUUAAAUGUAACAACCCAGCCCGUUAGUGUUAUUGUCCGCUUUGGGCCUAGGCCCUCACGGGUUUAAAACGCGUUACUAGGGUCUAUGACUUGUUAACUUAUAUACCCAUAAUUCCUCUUGUGUUUUUGCCGAUGUGGGAUGUUGUCUAAAGUAUGGGAUGUUACAUACACCUACUCUAAUGGACUCAGUGUCCUCGAUGAGUUUUGUUUCACUGCAUGAGAUUCGCCUAGACUUAACACUGAGGUUUGCCCCACCUAACUGGGAUUUGCCUAAACUCGGUUGAAUUCUGACCCACCAUCGGCAAGGCUGACACAAAAGUGGCUAUGAUACCAUCUAUAACAGUCCAACCCGCUAGUGAUAUUGUCUGCUCUGUGCCUAGGCCCUCACGGGUUUAAAACAUAUCACUAGGGUUUAAGGCUUGUUAACUUAUAUACCUAGAAUUCCUCUCGUGUUUUUACCGAUAUGGGACUUUGUCUAAAGUUUGAGGUGUUACAUUAAACCAAUUAUAUUAGCACAUAAUAUUUUUUUGGACUAAUAUAUUUAAAAUGAAGUCCAAAUUAUUUUAUUGAAUUUAAAUCCAACAAAUUUUGCAUGUUUACAACUAUAACCAAAUAAAUUAAAUUAAACACUAUAGACAAUUAAUCAAACUCACCAAUUGAAAAGUCAAUGAUAGGAAAAUUAAAGGCGAUUCAUAAAAUGUACUUAUUGAUCUUCCAAAAAAUAGGAAGGAAAAAAAAAAGCAAUUUUAAUUUAUUGAACAGUACACGGAACUUAAUUUAGCGACCCAUAUGCUGACCCAAAUAUUGUCGUGAUGGUUGAUUGCUUUGUUCUUUAAUAAAACGGGCUAUAAGCUUGUAAUCUUUUAUCUUGUGCUAUUUCGAAACAUUAAGAGCCUCUUUUGGCCAAGCUUCUGGGAGGCCAAAAGUAUUUUUUUCCCCAAAAAGGUACUUUUAAAAAAGUUUAAGCUGUUUGACCAAGAUAAAAAAGUACUUUUAGCCAAUAGCAGAAGUAAUUUUUCUGCUUUUGAAAAGAAGCAAAAACAGAAAAUUAAUUUAUUUAAGAUAAAACUAUCCUCACCUUAAAAUUUAUGCUUUUCAAAUUAUCUCUUACUAAUUUAAGUUUUUUUUUUUCCAUAUUUGUUUCUGAUUUUUAUCAUUCUCUUAAAUUUAAAGAUAUGUUAUACAUGAAUCAUAUUGUAACUUUCCAAAUUCUUUAUUGACUUUUCUUGUUUUUGAUUUUUUGGGGUGUAAUGUCUUGUAACUUUUCAAAUUAUCUUCUUCUUUCUUCACACUAAAGCAAAUUAUCUACAUCCUUUUUUGGAUUAUCAAUUCUCUUCCUACAAAUAUUUAUUUAUAAUUUCUUCUGUUAUAGACUAUUAGUUCUCGAAUCUUUAAAACAAUUGUAAAAUUUAAUUUGUGAAAAUUACCUACAAAUAGGUAAUAAAUUUACAACUUCAUCGCAUAUAUAUAUUAUUAAAAGAUGAAGAAAAAACAUCCACAUUAAGCCAAGUGGCAGUUCACAAUAGGCCGCCAUGCAAUUUACAACAAAGUUGGUUAGGUUAUGUAAUAAUUACUUUCUGAUUUAAAUUUUAAAAAAAUAAAAUUAUACAUUAUGUAUUGCUAAUAAUUAGUUACUCUUCAAAAUUAUUUUUAUUUUACGCUCAAUGUCAUAUUAUUUCAAGUUUGUCACUUAGAAUCAUCUAGUUAUAACUACCAUGACUAUACAUAAUUUUAUCCGACGAUAUUUUUCUACCGAUAAGGAAUUCAACUAUUAUGCUAAUGAAGACAUUACUACACAGACAUAGGAAGGAGGUGGGUCUUCUGAUAUUUCUUUAGAAAUGCAAGACAAGUCUACUACUAUGGAGGCAUUAUGUGAUAGAAGAAGAGAUGAAAUUGUUGAAAAAUAUUAUCUUUACUUAUUAUUUCAUGGUAGAUUAUAAAUAUAUAAUAAUUUGUGGAAUAGACUUCUAAUUCAUGCGAAAUGAUGUAUUUUGAUUAUUCAAAUCAUUAUGCAACAAUAAGUAAUUAUAUUAGAUAAUAUUAUGUAUUUUGGUAUAACUAUAUAUGUAAAAUUGAGUUAAAUCUUUAUUAUGUUUGUUUACAUUAUAUUUUAUAUUUUAAUUAAAUAAAAUAAAAAAUCUCUUACAAUAAAUAUUUAAGUUUAUUUUUCUCUUUAAAAUAAUAAUAAGACCUUGGUACUAUUCUUUUUGGUAAUUUGACACUCAAAAGCACUUUUUAGGAAGAUUGACAAACACAAUUUGUUUACCAGACGUUGCAAAAAGUACUUCUUAAAUGAAUUGACCAAACAUAAACUAUUUUUAAAAUAAGCAGAGUUUGACAUUUUGGCCAAACGGGCUCUAAAAUUAAUCUUCCUCCAUGACCGAUCUUAUUGUGAAGAAAAAUUAAAUGUCAUUGUGAGGUUUAACAGAAUCAUUACAUUUUGUGUAGUAUAAUUGCUGAAUGAUCGGGACAUCUGAAGAGGCUACUCAAAAAUUGAAUUUAAUGAAAACGUGUCAAUACUACUUUGUCAAUUGGGAAAAAUUUUCAAUAGUAAAACUUAAUGAGCCACACUUAUAGCAGAUUUAUAUUGCGGACAGAUUGCAAUUAUCUGAGACAGCACCAAAGUAUCUAAUGAUGAAACUAAAGAAUUCAAUAAUUAAUAUUUAAUACUAAUAAAAUCAUUUGAAAACCAAUCACGUUCUAGCAAAACGCAUAAUUACCAAAAUUAAGAAAUCACUUGAGGGAAGAUGAUUAAGAUAACAGAUUGAGAUAGAAUAGUAAUUAACAAAUAAAUAAUGUUAGACUGAGCAACUCAAUAUUGUGACUAACACUAAAAUGGCAACUGAAUUUGAAUGAGAAAACAUAACUAUCAUCAUUUGAUAGCCACUGACAAAUCUAACCAUACCAAUUAAUUUUAUCAAGACAAUUUCAAUUUAAAAAUUAACAUAACUUCCAAUUUUGCUACAGAUGCAGAACUGUAAAACAUUACACCAAAAGUUCUUCUUUACAUCACCAAACUCUAAUUGAACUCAUAAACGCAACAGAAACCAAAAGGAAAAAACAACAAAAACCUAUCAACUUUCAAGAGCUGGUGAAUUUGGUAACAGCCUUAGUACCCUCAGAAACAGCAUGCUUCGCCAAUUCACCAGGAAGUACAAGUCUCACAGCAGUCUGAAUCUCCCGAGAAGUAAUCGUAGGCUUCUUGUUGUAACGGGCCAAUCUAGAAGAUUCCUGAGCAAGUUUCUCGAAGAUAUCGUUGAUGAAACUGUUCAUGAUACCCAUAGCUUUGCUUGA